UUAUUGGAGAGUUUGAUCCUGGCUCAGGAUGAACGCUGGCGGCGUGCCUAAUACAUGCAAGUCGAGCGAAUGGAUUGAGAGCUUGCUCUCAAGAAGUUAGCGGCGGACGGGUGAGUAACACGUGGGUAACCUGCCCAUAAGACUGGGAUAACUCCGGGAAACCGGGGCUAAUACCGGAUAAUAUUUUGAACUGCAUAGUUCGAAAUUGAAAGGCGGCUUCGGCUGUCACUUAUGGAUGGACCCGCGUCGCAUUAGCUAGUUGGUGAGGUAACGGCUCACCAAGGCAACGAUGCGUAGCCGACCUGAGAGGGUGAUCGGCCACACUGGG
rnacentral:rRNA from 1 species